CCCUUAGAUGUCCUGGGCUGCACGCGCGCUACACUGAUGUGUCCAGUAAGCACCUAACCUCUUCCGAAAGGAACGGGUAACCUUUGCAAAGCACAUCGUGAUGGGGAUAGAUUAUUGCAAUUAUUAGUCUUGAACGAGGAAUUCCUAGUAAGCACAAGUCAUCAGCUUGUGUUGAUUACGUCCCUGCCCUUUGUACACACCGCCCGUCGCUCCUACCGAUUGGGUGAUCCGGUGAAUAACUCGGACUGCAGCUAUUCGGGAGACCGUUAGCUUGUGGAAAGUUUAGUAAAUCUUAUCACUUAGAGGAAGGAGAAGUCGUAACA
rnacentral:rRNA from 1 species